UAGGUGCGCGCUCACGGCUCACUCAAAUAGACCCCGCCACAGAUCACAGAUUAACUGAUUUACCAUGGCAACUAGAGCCGCGUACUUUUCCCCGUCGGAAGCACAAAUCCUCAUGGAGGCAUACGAGGAGGUAAAAGAUAUAAUUAAGAAGAAAGGCAACACCGCCACAGUGAUAAAGCAAAGAGAAAAAGCGUGGCAAAGUAUUGCAGACCGCCUGAAUGCGUAAGUAGUGCACAAUUACACACUCACCGCUCCGCUGAAACAUCACAAUUACAAUUCAAAUAUUUAAUUCACAUCUCCAAAAAUGCAGUUGUACUGUAAUUAUGAAACGGUUAAAUUUUUAAUUGAAAUGCACUGCAGAUAUGAGUGAAAUUGUGUAAAGUAACUCCAUCACACUGUAUAAAGCUAUGAUACAUUUUUUGAUAUUUUUACUGAAAACAAGACAAAAAUACCAAGUAAUUUUUUGCAGUGUGACUCCAUUAAAUGUGUGUGUGUGUAGAUUAAACAUGAACGGGCCAAAACGGACAUGGCAGCAGGUCAAAAUCAAAUACAAGAACAUUCUGCAGAAUGCAGUGAAAAAGAAUACCCACAGACAAGGCACGGGUGGUGGGUCACCAAAGGCUGACCUUACCCCAGCAGAGGACAUGGCCUUGGAGCUAAAUAAAGGCAGGCCCGUCUUAGAGGGGAUCCCUGGGGGGAAAGAGACGAGCAUAGGUUCCUCCCAAGAUGCCACCCGCUUCAUUCAAGCACUGUGUUCCUGUUAGAGCCACCAGCACAAGCACCAGACGAUGCUGAUCCAGGUGAAGGCCCCAGUGCAACAGCACAUGAUGGAGACGAUGAUGAGGAGGAGACCAUCUCUCUGGAUUCCAGAAGGCAUGAGGACCCAGAUGCUAUACAGUGGGAAAACCAGCCUGGCAACAUAGUGCGUAUUAAUAAAAGGACACCACAUCCUGCCAAAUUCCAGCUGCGCUAAUUGUAUUGUGUUCACAGAGCUCACAAGCUAUCAGAAAGUUGUAUGGCAACCACCUCCUGCGCCAAAUAGAACUGGCAGACAUAGACAUUCAGUACAAGAAGAAAAAGAUGGAAAAUCUUGCACUGGAGUCCGAAAUAAAAAAGAGGACAAUUAGGAAA